rnacentral:rRNA from 1 species
AAAUUGAAGAGUUUGAUCAUGGCUCAGAUUGAACGCUGGCGGCAGGCCUAACACAUGCAAGUCGAACGGUAGCACAGAGAGCUUGCUCUCGGGUGACGAGUGGCGGACGGGUGAGUAAUGUCUGGGAAACUGCCUGAUGGAGGGGGAUAACUACUGGAAACGGUAGCUAAUACCGCAUAACGUCGCAAGACCAAAGAGGGGGACCUUCGGGCCUCUUGCCAUCAGAUGUGCCCAGAUGGGAUUAGCUAGUAGGUGGGGUAACGGCUCACCUAGGCGACGAUCCCUAGCUGGUCUGAGAGGAUGACCAGCCACACUGGAACUGAGACACGGUCCAGACUCCUACGGGAGGCA